rnacentral:pre_miRNA from 1 species
UAUGGCUUUUACAUUCCUGUGUGUAUAUUAAUGCAGUACACACAGUAUGUUGCCAUG